CAAGCAGUCAGUCACACAUUUACUGUACUUUCAAACACAGCAGACACUGAGUGAAUCAUCACUUCAUCAUUCUGUUCAGAGACUGAAUAAGAAUAACCAUGGCGAAAAACACCAAUUAAUAUAAAAAAAGGAAUCAUGAGUGAUGAGAUGCAGCGGGACGCUCUUCAGUGCGCUCUUCUGGCUGUGAAUAUGUAUAAAAAGGGAUCAACAUUGCUAACUACAUCAAGAAGGAAUUUGACAGAAAGCAUCAGGCAUCCUGGCAAUGCAUUGUGGGGAGCACUGGUUACAGUGUGUCGCACAACAGCAACUGUUAUAUAAACUUCACAGUUGGCAAAAAACAUAUUGUGCUUUUCAAGGCACCCUGAGUGACAGUAACAGUUAAAACAUAUUUUAUGAAAAGAUGCUGGGGUGUAAGAGACUCAGGGUCUGCUAUUUUGUGGUGGCAUGAUUUUGUGGCAUAGGUCUGGUAGUUUAAUUAAACUUUAUCAUUUGCUGUGGGAUUAUUAAAUAUUAAAUAUUAACCUGUAUCAUAAUUUAAAGACUCUAAACAAGAUCAAAUCUUUGUUGAAAAACCUGUUGCACAAUCUAUUACAUGCCUUCUGUCGUCUGAUUGAUAUU